GAUGAACGCUGGCGGCGUGCCUAAUACAUGCAAGUCGAGCGAACGGACGAGAAGCUUGCUUCUCUGAUGUUAGCGGCGGACGGGUGAGUAACACGUGGAUAACCUACCUAUAAGACUGGGAUAACUUCGGGAAACCGGAGCUAAUACCGGAUGAUAUUUUGAACCGCAUGGUUCAAAAGUGAAAGACGGUCUUGCUGUCACUUAUAGAUGGAUCCGCGCUGCAUUAGCUAGUUGGUAAGGUAACGGCUUACCAAGGCAACGAUGCAUGGCCGACCUGAGAGAGUGAUCGGCCACACUGGAACUGAGACACGGUCAAGACGCCUACGGGAGGCAGCAGUAGGGAAUCUGCCGCAAAGGGCGAAAGCAUGACGGAGCAACGCCGCGUGAGUGAUGAAGGUCUUCGGAUCGUAAAACUCUGUUAUUAGGGAAGAACAUAUGUGUAAGUAACUGUGCACAGCUUGACGGUAACUAAUCAGAAAGCCACGGCUAACUACGUG
rnacentral:rRNA from 1 species